rnacentral:lncRNA from 1 species
CAGGGGCUGAUGGGAACUUCAUGGACAGUCAAGGUAACACAAAGCGAUUGAUGCUUGAGCUUUGAGGAGACAGGACUUUGAGGAUUAGUAUUACUGAUGACACAAUGGAUCUUCUGAUCGUAUGGAUUUCAAUGGUGUUUACAACAGUGGCUGACACAAGAAGGAAUGAUGGAUUUGUUGACCCUGUACCAGUCUACCCCCUUAACAUGGCUCCUGACUCUGUUGAUGAUGACUACAAAGGCUGUUCUGCUGAAAUGUCCGAGUUGGUGAAUAGAAAAUAUCUUGGAGUAGAUGGAGGCUUGGAGAAAAGCAGAGAACGAAACUCAAGGAAUGAAACCACAGUUAGACAAUCUGACCAUGAAUCAUGUAAUUGCUAUUCGUGUGUAUACUUAUGGAAUGCCCAAUGUUUUUCAACAAUGCUGUUCGCACAAGUAGAACAAAUUACAAAACCACUUUUAAGUAUCACUCUCUUCACUUUUUGUCGAAAGAUGCUAUUCAGCGCCUUAACCCUAAUGGUACUUGCUUGCAGGUUAAUCGGGAA